GAGUUUGAUCUUGGCUCAGAUUGAACGCUGGCGGCAGGCCUAACACAUGCAAGUCGGGCGGUAGAGAGAAGCUUGCUUCUCUUGAGAGCGGCGGACGGGUGAGUAAUGCCUAGGAAUCUGCCUGGUAGUGGGGGAUAACGCUCGGAAACGGACGCUAAUACCGCAUACGUCCUACGGGAGAAAGCAGGGGACCUUCGGGCCUUGCGCUAUCAGAUGAGCCUAGGUCGGAUUAGCUAGUUGGUGAGGUAAUGGCUCACCAAGGCGACGAUCCGUAACUGGUCUGAGAGGAUGAUCAGUCACACUGGAACUGAGACACGGUCCAGACUCCUACGGGAGGCAGCAGUGGGGAAUAUUGGACAAUGGGCGAAAGCCUGAUCCAGCCAUGCCGCGUGUGUGAAGAAGGUCUUCGGAUUGUAAAGCACUUUAAGUUGGGAGGAAGGGCAGUAAAUUAAUACUUUGCUGUUUUGACGUUACCGACAGAAUAAGCACCGGCUAACUCUGUGCCAGCCGCCGACCG
rnacentral:rRNA from 1 species